rnacentral:rRNA from 1 species
UGGGGAAUAUUGCACAAUGGGCGCAAGCCUGAUGCAGCCAUGCCGCGUGUGUGAAGAAGGCCUUCGGGUUGUAAAGCACUUUCAGCGAGGAGGAAGGUGGUGAACUUAAUACGUUCAUCAAUUGACGUUACUCGCAGAAGAAGCACCGGCUAACUCCGUGCCAGCAGCCGCGGUAAUACGGAGGGUGCAAGCGUUAAUCGGAAUUACUGGGCGUAAAGCGCACGCAGGCGGUUUGUUAAGUCAGAUGUGAAAUCCCCGGGCUCAACCUGGGAACUGCAUUUGAAACUGGCAAGCUAGAGUCUCGUAGAGGGGGGUAGAAUUCCAGGUGUAGCGGUGAAAUGCGUAGAGAUCUGGAGGAAUACCGGUGGCGAAGGCGGCCCCCUGGACGAAGACUGACGCUCAGGUGCGAAAGCGUGGGGAGCAAACAGAUUAGAUACCCUGGUAGUCCACGCUGUAAAACGAUGUCGAUUUUGGAGGUUGUGCCCUUGAGGCGUGGCUUCCGGAGCUAACGCGUUAAAUCGACCGCC